UCAGAUUCUACAUUCAACAUUUAAGGCACAGUCUUGGUAAAUUGUGUCACACUAUAUUUUAUGUUAGUAAGAUCUUCACAAUUAAUGUCAAUAACAAUUCUAGGAUCUGCAAAUGAUGUCAUGUAUGAUAAAUCACAAAUUGUGCACACACAUUAACUUAUCUAACCUAAAAUAUAAACCUCACACAGAAUUUUUUUUUCAUGCCUACUCGAUAUAGAUGUAAUUUUAAAAAUUGUAAAGUUUCUUAAGAUGGAUUCCUUGGAAUAAACAUCAUUCUAAUGAUUUGUAUCAAUAAGACAAAAAUAAGUUUUGUCUAAUACAUGUACAUGCUCUGCUGGUUCCUGUUUUCAGUUUAAUACAUGACAUGCAGUUACUAUUUAUUCCUCGUACCCCAUGUGUAAAUGGUUGUUACAAAAAUGAAAUGAAUUGCUUUAUUAAUAGAUAUACAUAUAUGUGUAUACUUCAGUGUGAUAAUAACAGAACGGAACAAUUAAGAUUUGGUUACUAACACUUAACCAUAUUCUGAUUGUUAUCUUACUAUUAACAGGCAACCUAAAUAUAUUCCAGAUAAUUAUUUCAAUAAAUGAUGCAAGACAGCGCCGUUUUAUUCGAUUUCUCUAAUUUUGUUCAAGUGUUCAAUACAUUAUUGCUUUUUUCAUUUUAGUUUAUUGUACUCGAUUCGCAAUGUAAUUAGCAACACCUCAAAAUACCGAUCGGGCACGAAAUUCAUUUUGUAAAGCAAAUGUUGGGAAUGACUAGAUAUGUUCUAGAUAUUUUCUCAUCCACAAUUAGUAAGUGACGAUCAACACUGCAGAAAUUCAAGGCCCUCACUUUGAUUGAUUAUGAUACGUAUUUGAAUUGUAAUAGAUACUUAUAGACUCAUAGGCCAUUGUAAUAAAUGCAUAAAACAUGUACAUAAAACUCUUAAGGUAUUUAAUGUAUAAUGACCAUAUUUCAUAUCUAAUAAAUGGAUGGUGGAAUAUUUGUAAUCAUGGUAUCAUUUUGAAGGGUUCAUCAAAUAAAAAUAACCCACGGUAGGAAUUUUGAAAAUUUUGUUUACUGCUUGAUAUAUUUCACCUAGAAUUUAACAUUGAAGUAUAUGGGAAAAGCAUCUUUUAUUACAAUAUUUUAAAAACAAAUUAAUUAUUCAUACUAAUCUCUUGGUAGAAAGUUACAUAGUUUCUUUUUAUGAAAAUAUGAAAUAAAAUUAAUCAUUGACCACACACAUUUUUAAAAAAAUAAUUUUCCUUAUUUUUACAAAGGGCAGACAACUCUUCCAAAAAGCCUUAAGUGCAAAAACAAUACGAUAAUAAUCCACAACAAUGGACAUCUGCAAUUGUCACUGCAGUAAACUCAAGUGACCUAUUGUCAUCUGUCUUCAUGCGUCGUAGUAUGUCGUGGUGCGUCGUCCGAUGAAAAAUUUACAGUUGAGCUUCUUGAAAACUACAAGGCCAUAUCAUUUAUGAUGUGAAGCAUCUCUGGGAUAAGAGGAAUGUAAAUUGUUAAAGAAAAUCCAAAUGGAUGAUUAUAAUAUCCGCGAAGCUAUCCACCCGAAUUGUGACAUUUAUGGCUCCUGGGUCAGAGAUUCGGGCCAUAAGGCGGGGCUAAUAUGAGCAAACAUUGAACUGGAGUACAAGACAAUACGUGAAAUGUUGAAAGAAUUUGACCAGGUCUUCAAGAAAAUAGAAGAAAAUGACAUCAAAGUUCAGAAACCUUUAAUAGUUUUAGGAGCCCGAGUCGUGAUGACACUCUUAUCGAAAUAUUUGAGGCCAUUUGAGAGAACUUGACUAUCGUGCAAACAAUUACGUGAAAGGAACCACAUAGCAACCGCACUGCUCUAUAACAUGCUGGAAUGAUGAUCAAGAAUCUUGACUACAUUUCAAAACGAGACUGUGUGAUAAGACUUGCCAUUUGUAUAAUUAUUUUGGUAUGGAGAAGAGCCAUAUUCCCCAGCCAUUCAUUAGGGUACUUAUGAUGCCAAAAUGGACUUCUGACAGGAAACCGGAUGGACACUGUGGGCGAAAAGUCAACAUCUUUUAUGCAGAUAUUUGGAUAAUUAAAAGUGCUGUAGAGAUUCCAUUCUUUCUCAUUUCAAUUGCUAUUUUUUUAUUGAGAUUAUGUGAAAUGCACUAUGCUCAAUAUAAUUGUUAUCAGUAUAACUGCUGUAAAAUGUGUUGGAAAGUUUGUCUAUAUACAAAGAAUAAAGAUGACUUGGACAUACAAAAUUGAUGAAUUAAACACAUAGUA